UACAGAGGGUGCGAGCGUUAAUCGGAAUUACUGGGCGUAAAGCGUGCGUAGACGGUUAUCUAAGUCGGAUGUGAAAGCCCCGGGCUCAACCUGGGAAUUGCAUUCGAGACUGAAUAGCUAGGGUGCGGUAGAGGGAAGUGGAAUUUCCGGUGUAGCGGUGAAAUGCGUAGAUAUCGGAAGGAACAUCAGUGGCGAAAGCGGGUUACUGGGCUGAUACUGACGCUGAUGCGCGAAAGCCAGGGGAGCAAACGGG
rnacentral:rRNA from 1 species